GGGCUCACUUUGGCAGCACACAUACUGCAAUGGGGACAACAUAGAAAAGAUUAGUGUGGCCUGUGCACACGGAGGACAUUUAAACUUAUGAAAUGAACUGUAUUUUC
rnacentral:snRNA from 1 species